rnacentral:misc_RNA from 1 species
ACGAGUUAGGGUCUUCUAGGCCCGACCUCCCAACCCACUGUUUACUGAACCACUGUUGCUUCGGCGGGCCCCGUCUCAUGACCGCCGGAGGAUCGUCGAAAGGCGCGUCCUCUGGCCCGCGUCCGCCGAGAGCCAACCACUUAAAUUCUGUAUUAAUCGUGUCUUCUAAGUCUAGGAUUGAAUAAUAAAGCAAA